UCAGUCCUGGGAAGAGACUGGCUAGACUGGCCCUUCCCUCACUCUACCUGCCACAGAAUCCAGCAGACUGGUGUCCUGUGUAAAGAACAUCAUUUCAACAGAACACUGAUGGACCAAUCUGUCUAUAAACAUUAUUAGAAGAACUGGACAUCUUCAACUUUGCUAAAGGAGGAAGCACAGCUGCAAGAAACCAUUGCAAGGUCUACAGAUAUUGCUUUCUCCUGAUAUCCAACAACAGGACCUGUUCAAUAAUUCAGUUCUUUUUUGUUGAUGGACAUCUAGGAUAUUUCUGUUUUGUGACUCUUGAGAAGAAAGCAAAUGAACACAGAUGAACAAGUAUCUGUGAAGAAGGAUACCUAAUGCUUUGAUUAUGUGUUCAAGAAUGGUGUAUCUGGAUAUUUUGGUAGAUCUAUUUUCAGAUCCCUGAGGUUCCUCCACAUUGAUUUCCAUAGUGGAUGCAGCAUUUUUCACAUGCACCAGCUAUGAUUAAGUGUUCCCAUUUUUCCACAUCCAUGCCAAUAUUUGUUACAAUUUAUUAACAUCUUAGCCAUUCUGACUUGUGUACAUUGUAAUAUUCUCAGUCUUUCCUGAAUGGGCCAUCUAUAUCAUACAUUUUCCUUCCAAAACUCAGAAAUCAUUACAGAGGAAGAGGUGGAACAAUGUGAUCCAGAUAAGGUUGUUGAUUACAAGGAAACACAGAAACACUGCUUCAAAAACAAAACAGGGAAGUUGCACACAGUGGUUUUGACAGCAUGCACAAAGACUUGUACAAGCUCAAUUAGACAAAUUGCCAUCAUGGUGUAAAGGGAGGUAGGGCAAGUACCAACCCUUUAUAAGAAGUAAAAGGCAACUGAUAGAAUUAGGGGAAGGAAAGUUAAGUUUUCUUCAUGACUUUGACCCCUGAUAAGUUAACCAUAUUUCACUGCAGGACCACAUACUUAAGUGUAUAUGCAAAGUGCCAGCUGGACUUUAUAAAUUUUAGUUGAGGAAACAAAGUUGGGUGGUUGUGGAAGUAGGGAAAAUCAAUCUAAGAGAAUCUGGUAAAGGAAUGACAAUGAUCAAAACCAAAUGUAUAGCAUUUCUCAAAAUGUAAUUUAAAAUAAUUUUUAAAAAUUAAAAAAUAAAAAUGAAACCAUUAUGAAAUGCCAUCUUACCCAAAUCAGAGCAGAUCUUUUAUAUGACAGCAAGCAUUAAUGGAGAUUUAUGGAAAGAGGAAACAUUAUUCAGUGUUGAGGAAAAUGUAAAAUGAAGUAAACAGUGUGGAGAUUUCUCAAACAGUUAUAAAGAGAACUACAAUAAGACCCAGGUAUGCCUCUCCUAGGAUUAUACUCAAGGAGCACUCUGUCCUACCAC